rnacentral:rRNA from 1 species
AUUGAACGCUGGCGGCAUGCCUUACACAUGCAAGUCGAACGGCAGCACGGGGGCAACCCUGGUGGCGAGUGGCGAACGGGUGAGUAAUACAUCGGAACGUGCCCAGUAGUGGGGGAUAGCCCGGCGAAAGCCGGAUUAAUACCGCAUACGACCUACGGGUGAAAGUGGGGGAUCGCAAGACCUCGCGCUAUCGGAGCGGCCGAUGUCAGAUUAGGUUGUUGGUGGGGUAAAAGCCACCAAGCCGGCGAUCUGUAGCUGGUCUGAGAGGACGACCAGCCACACUGGGACUGAGACACGGCCCAGACUCCUACGGGAGGCAGCAGUGGGGAAUUUUGGACAAUGGGCGCAAGCCUGGUCCAGCCAUGCCGC